rnacentral:rRNA from 1 species
CAGUCGCCGCGGGAACACGAAGGGUGCAAGCGUUACUCGGAAUUACUGGGCGUAAAGCGUGCGUAGGUGGUGGUUUAAGUCCGUUGUGAAAGCCCUGGGCUCAACCUGGGAAUUGCAGUGGAUACUGGGUCACUAGAGUGUGGUAGAGGAUAGUGGAAUUUCCGGUGUAGCAGUGAAAUGCGUAGAGAUCGGAAGGAACAUCUGUGGCGAAGGCGACUAUCUGGGCCAACACUGACACUGAGGCACGAAAGCGUGGGGAGCAAACAGGAUUAGAUACCCCUGUAGUCCCUGUCUCUUAUAA